GGUGACGUAGCUCAGUUGGUUAGCAGCACCGGCCUGUCACGCCGGAGGUCGCGGGUUCAAGUCCCGUCGUCAUCGCCA
rnacentral:tRNA from 1 species